rnacentral:rRNA from 1 species
GGCGAGUGAAGCGGCAAGAGCUCAAAUUUGAAAGCUGGCUCCUUCGGGGUCCGCAUUGUAAUUUGUAGAGGAUGCUUCGGGAGCGGUCCCCAUCUAAGUGCCCUGGAACGGGACGUCAUAGAGGGUGAGAAUCCCGUAUGGGAUGGGGUGUCCGCGCCCGUGUGAAGCUCCUUCGACGAGUCGAGUUGUUUGGGAAUGCAGCUCUAAAUGGGUGGUAAAUUUCAUCUAAAGCUAAAUAUUGGCCGGAGACCGAUAGCGCACAAGUAGAGUGAUCGAAAGAUGAAAAGCACUUUGAAAAGAGAGUUAAAAAGCACGUGAAAUUGUUGAAAGGGAAGCGCUUGCGACCAGACUCGCUCGCGGGGUUCAGCCGGCAUUCGUGCCGGUGUACUUCCCCGCGGGCGGGCCAGCGUCGGUUUGGGCGGUCGGUCAAAGGCCCUCGGAAGGUAACGCCCCUAGGGGCGUCUUAUAGCCGAGGGUGCAAUGCGACCUGCCUAGACCGAGGAACGCGCUUCGGCUCGGACGCUGGCAUAAUGGUCGUAAGCGACCC